GAUCCUGGCUCAGGAUGAACGCUAGCGGCAGGCCUAACACAUGCAAGUCGAGGGGCGAGCACGGUGUUAGCAAUACACUGGUGGCGACCGGCGCACGGGUGCGUAACGCGUAUGCAACCUACCCAUAACAGGGGGAUAACACUGAGAAAUUGGUACUAAUACCCCAUAACAUCAGGACCGGCAUCGGUUCUGGCUGAAAACUCCGGUUGGUUAUGGAUGGGCAUGGCGUUGUAUUAGCUGGUUUGG
rnacentral:rRNA from 1 species